rnacentral:tRNA from 1 species
CGCUCUCGGCAGAGCGCUGCCUUCACACGGCAGAGGUCGCUGGUUCGAACCCAGCAUCGC